GAUGAAGAACGUAGCGAAAUGCGAUAAGUAGUGUGAAUUGCUGAAUUCAGUGAAUCAUCGAAUCUUUGAACGCACAUUGCGCCCCAUGGUAUUCCGUGGGGCAUGCCUGUUCGAGCGUCAUUUACCCCCUCAAGCUCCGCUUGGUGUUGGGCGUCUGUCCCGCUUCGCGCGCGGACUCGCCCCAAAGGUAUUGGCAGCGGUCGUGCCAGCUUCUCGCGCAGCACAUUGCGCUUCUCGAGGCACCGGUGGGCCCGCGUCCAUCAAGCUCACCCCCCCAGUUUGACCUCGGAUCAGGUAGGGAUACCCGCUGAACUUAAGCAUAUCAAUAAGCGGAGGA
rnacentral:misc_RNA from 1 species